rnacentral:rRNA from 1 species
GACGAACGCUGGCGGCGUGCUUAACACAUGCAAGUCGAACGGAAAGACCCUGCUUUUGUGGGGUGCUCGAGUGGCGAACGGGUGAGUAACACGUGAGUAACCUGCCCUUGACUUUGGGAUAACUUCAGGAAACUGGGGCUAAUACCGGAUAGGAGCUCCUGCUGCAUGGUGGGGGUUGGAAGGUUUCGGCGGUUGGGGAUGGACUCGCGGCUUAUCAGCUGGUUGGUGGGGUAGUGGCUUACCAAGGCUUUGACGGGUAGCCGGCCUGAGAGGGUGACCGGCCACAGUGGGACUGAGAUACGGCCCAGACUCCUACGGGAGGCAGCAGUGGGGAAUAUUGCACAAUGGGCGGAAGCCUGAUGCAGCAACGCCGCGUGCGGGAUGACGGCCUUCGGGUUGUAAACCGCUUUCGCCUGUGACGAAGCGUGAGUGACGGUAAUGGGUAAAGAAGCACCGGCUAACUACGUG